rnacentral:rRNA from 1 species
GUAGUCUCGCACAGAUGCAUAUCAAUAAGCGGAGGAAAAGAAACUAACAAGGAUUCCCCUAGUAGCGGCGAGUGAAGCGGGAAGAGCUCAAAUUUGAAAUCUUAAAGGGUUUCCCUUUACGAAUUGUAGUUUAAAGAAGUGUUUUCUGUUGAGGUUUUGGUAAAAGUUCUUUGGAAUAGGACAUCAUAGAGGGUGAGAAUCCCGUAUUUGACCUUUACUUUCAACUUUGUGAUACACUUUCAAAGAGUCGGAUUGUUUGGGAAUGCAGUCCAAAAUGGGUGGUAAAUUUCAUCUAAAGCUAAAUAUUGGCGAGAGACCGAUAGCGAACAAGUACCGUGAGGGAAAGAUGAAAAGAACUUUGAAAAGAGAGUUAAACAGUACGUGAAAUUGUCAAAAGGGAAGCGCUUUGACACCAGUGUUGUUUUUCUGAAAAUCAAUUAAAGAACUGUUUAUGCUAAGUUGUUUAGACUUUAUCAGCUAACUGUUUAGUUUUGAGCUUUUCUUUAAUGCACUUUUCAGUUAACAAGUCAACAUCAAUUUCUUUUGCUGUAAAAAAGCUUGAGGAAGGUGGCUUGAGAUUCGUCUUAAGUGUUUAUAGCCUCUUGCCUAUGCAGUCGGAGAGAUUGAGGUCUGCAGCGUAGAUCCUUCGGGGCUAAAUGCAUUUGUGCUAAGUUAUAGCAUUUUAUAGACAACUUGUUGACUAUGAUUUGUCUUGUAGCUUACUCGCUUAUGUUAUUUUACCUACGCUUAGGAUGUUGAUCUGUAGUGCGUGCGC